UACGUAGGGGGCAAGCGUUGUCCGGAUUUAUUGGGCGUAAAGAGCGUGUAGGCGGCCAUUCAGGUCAGCUGUGAAAACUCGAGGCUCAACCUCGAGACGUCGGUUGAAACCGUUUGGCUAGAGUCCGGAAGAGGAGAGUGGAAUUCCCGGUGUAGCGGUGAAAUGCGCAGAUAUCGGGAAGAACACCCGUGGCGAAGGCGGCUCUCUGGGACGGUACUGGACGCUGAGACGCGAAAAGCGUGGGGGAGCGAACAGG
rnacentral:rRNA from 1 species